rnacentral:rRNA from 1 species
CGUGAGUGAUGAAGGCUUUCGGGUCGUAAAGCUCUGUCAAGUGGGAAGAAGUUAUAUAUGUUUAACAGGCAUAUAUAUUGACGGUACCACUGAAGGAAGCACCGGCUAACUCCGUGCCAGCAGCCGCGGUAAUACGGAGGGUGCAAGCGUUAUUCGGAUUUACUGGGCGUAAAGGGCGCGUAGGCGGUUUGAUAAGUCAGUUGUGAAAGCCCGGGGCUCAGCCCCGGAAGUGCAAUUGAAACUGUCAGGCUUGAGUAUGGUAGAGGGAAGUGGAAUUCCUGGUGUAGCGGUGAAAUGCGUAGAUAUCAGGAGGAACACCGGUGGCGAAGGCGACUUCCUGGACCAAUACUGACGCUGAGGCGCGAAGGUGUGGGGAGCAAACAGGAUUAGAUACCCUGGUAGUCCACACAGUAAACGGUGAUCACUAGGUGUUGCGGGUAUUGACCCCUGCAGUGCCGCAGCUAACGCAUUAA